GGGUUGGUAGCUCAGUGGUAGAGCAGUUGGCUUUUAACCGAUCAGUCGAGGGUUCGAACCCCUCCUAACCCA
rnacentral:tRNA from 1 species